rnacentral:rRNA from 1 species
UACGUAGGGUGCGAGCGUUACUCGGAAUUACUGGGCGUAAAGCGUGCGCAGGCGGUUUGUUAAGUCCGCUGUGAAAGCCCUGGGCUCAACCUGGGAAUUGCAGUGGAUACUGGCAAGCUAGAGUGCGGUAGAGGAUGGUGGAAUUCCCGGUGUAGCGGUGAAAUGCGUAGAUAUGUGGAGGAAUACCGAUGGCGAAGGCAGCCCCCUGGGUCGAUACUGACGCUCAUGCACGAAAGCGUGGGGAGCAAACAGG